GGAUUUUACUCAUAUCCAUAACACCUGUGCACUUGUCGGAUGGCUUAGUGAAGACCGCAAGGUUGGAACUAUCCAUCUACUUUACAUAACAAUCCUGUAACAAAUGUAGUCUUAUUAUAACAUAAUAAAACUUUCAACAACGGAUCUCUUGGCUCUCGCAUCGAUGAAGAACGCAGCGAAAUGCGAUAAGUAAUGUGAAUUGCAGAAUUCAGUGAAUCAUCGAAUCUUUGAACGCACCUUGCGCUCCUUGGUAUUCCGAGGAGCAUGCCUGUUUGAGUGUCAUGAAAACCCUCAACCUUAGAUUGGUUAUUUGACCUUUCUUUGGCUUGGAUUUGGACGUUUGCCGAUGAUAAAUCGGCUCGUCUUAAAAGUAAUAGCUGGAUCUGUCUCGCGACAUGGUUUGACUUGGCGUAAUAAGUAUUUCGCUAAGGACAUCUUCGGAUGGCCACGUUGCAGGACUAAAGACCGCUUUCUAAUCCAUUGAUCUUCGGAUUAAUAUUCUUGACAUCUGGCCUCAAAUCAGGUAGGACUACCCGCUGAACUUAAGCAUAUCAAUAAGCGGAGGAAAAGAAACUAACAAGGAUUCCCCUAGUAACGGCGAGUGAAGCGGGAAGAGCUCAAAUUUGAAAUCUGGCGGCAUCCUGUCGUCCGAGUUGUAAUCUAUAGAAGUGUUUUCCGCGUCGGACCAUGUACAAGUCCCUUGGAACAGGGCGUCAUAGAGGGUGAGAAUCCCGUCCUUGACAUGAUCUCCGGUGCUAUGUGAUACACUUUCAACGAGUC
rnacentral:rRNA from 1 species